AAAGUCGUAACAAGGUUUCCGUAGGUGAACCUGCGGAAGGAUCAUUAAUAAAUGGCGAAGCUUUCGAGCCUAGCUUUUAUCAAUAUAACACCUGUGAACUAUUUGCCUUCGGGCACUCAUCAAACAUAAUGUAACGAAUGUAAACUACUAUAAUAAAUACAACUUUCAACAACGGAUCUCUUGGCUCUC
rnacentral:misc_RNA from 1 species